UCAAGUAAUUAAGUGCAUGUGGUGGAUGCCUUGGCAGUCAGAGGCGAUGAAAGACGUGAUAGCCUGCGAAAAGCUCGGGAGGCGGCAAAUAUCCUUUGAUCCGGAGAUGUCUGAAUGGGGGAACCCACCUACUUUAAGGUAGGUAUUGCAACAUGAAUACAUAGUGUUGCAAGGCGAACGAGGGGAAGUGAAACAUCUCAGUACCCUUAGGAAAAGAAAUCAAUUGAGAUUCCCUCAGUAGCGGCGAGCGAACGGGGAUCAGCCCAUUAAGUUAUGUGUGUUUUAGUGGAACGCUCUGGGAAGUGCGAACGUAGAGGGUGAUAUUCCCGUACACGAAAGGGCACAUAAUGAUGACGAGUAGGGCGAGGCACGUGAAACCUUGUCUGAAUAUGGGGGGACCAUCCUCCAAGGCUAAAUACUCCUGACUGACCGAUAGUGAACCAGUACCGUGAGGGAAAGGCGAAAAGAACCCCUGUGAGGGGAGUGAAAUAGAUCCUGAAACCGCAUGCAUACAAGCAGUGGGAGCACCUUCGUGGUGUGACUGCGUACCUUUUGUAUAAUGGGUCAGCGACUUAUAUUCAGUAGCGAGGUUAACCGUAUAGGGGAGCCGUAGAGAAAUCGAGUCUUAAUAGGGCGUUUAGUUGCUGGGUAUAGACCCGAAACCAGGCGAUCUAUCCAUGAGCAGGUUGAAGGUUGGGUAACACUAACUGGAGGACCGAACCCACUGUCGUUGAAAAGCCAGGGGAUGACUUGUGGAUAGGGGUGAAAGGCUAAUCAAGCCUGGUGAUAGCUGGUUCUCCCCGAAAGCUAUUUAGGUAGCGCCUCGGACGAAUACCAUAGGGGGUAGAGCACUGUUUCGGCUAGGGGGUCAUCCCGACUUACCAAACCGAUGCAAACUCCGAAUACCUAUGAGUACUAUCCGGGAGACAGACUGCGGGUGCUAACGUCCGUAGUCAAGAGGAAAACAAUCCAGACCGCCAGCUAAGGCCCCAAAAUCAUAGUUAAGUGGGAAACGAUGUGGGAAGGCAUAGACAGCUAGGAGGUUGGCUUAGAAGCAGCCACCCUUUAAAGAAAGCGUAAUAGCUCACUAGUCGAGUCGGCCUGCGCGGAAGAUGUAACGGGGCUAAAACUAUGUGCCGAAGCUGCGGAUGUAUACUUUGUAUACGUGGUAGGGGAGCGUUCUGUAAGCCGAUGAAGGUGUGUUGAGAAGCAUGCUGGAGGUAUCAGAAGUGCGAAUGCUGACGUGAGUAACGACAAAACGGGUGAAAAACCCGUUCGCCGAAAGACCAAGGGUUCCAGUCCAACGUUAAUCGGGGCUGGGUGAGUCGACCCCCUAAGGCGAGGCCGAAAGGCGUAGUCGAUGGGAAAAUGGUUAAUAUUCCAUUACUUCUGUGUAAUGCGAUGAGAGGACGGAGAAGGCUAAAUCAGCCUGGCGUUGGUUGUCCAGGUGAAAGGAUGUAGGCAUGUAUCUUAGGCAAAUCCGGGGUACUCUAUGCUGAGAUCUGAUAGCAAGCUGUACUUGUACAGCGAAGUGGUUGAUGCCAUGCUUCCAGGAAAAGUCUCUAAGCUUCAGUUACACAGGAAUCGUACCCGAAACCGACACAGGUGGUCAGGUCGAGUAGACCAAGGCGCUUGAGAGAACUCUGCUGAAGGAACUAGGCAAAAUGGUACCGUAACUUCGGGAGAAGGUACGCUGUUGUUGGUGAUGGAACUCGCUUCCUGAGCUGACGACAGCCGCAGAAACCAGGCCGCUGCAACUGUUUAUUAAAAACAUAGCACUCUGCAAACACGAAAGUGGACGUAUAGGGUGUGAUGCCUGCCCGGUGCUGGAAGGUUAAUUGAUGGGGUUAGCGUAAGCGAAGCUCUUGAUCGAAGCCCCAGUAAACGGCGGCCGUAACUAUAACGGUCCUAAGGUAGCGAAAUUCCUUGUCGGGUAAGUUCCGACCUGCACGAAUGGCAUAAUGAUGGCGGCGCUGUCUCCAGCAGAGGCUCAGUGAAAUCGAAAUCGCUGUGAAGAUGCAGUGUACCCGCGGCUAGACGGAAAGACCCCGUGAACCUUUACUGCAGCUUGACACUGAACUUUGACCUUACUUGUGUAGGAUAGGUGGGAGGCUUUGAAGCUGGAACGCUAGUUCCAGUGGAGCCGUCCUGAAAUACCACCCUGGUAAUGUUGAGGUUCUAACUCUGUCCCGUGAUCCGGGACGAGGACCGUGUCUGGUGGGUAGUUUGACUGGGCGGUCUCCUCCUAAAGAGUAACGGAGGAGUACGAAGGUGCGCUCAGCGUGGUCGGAAAUCACGCGUAGAGUAUAAAGGCAAAAGCGCGCUUAACUGCGAGACCCACAAGUCGAGCAGGUACGAAAGUAGGUCUUAGUGAUCCGGUGGUUCUGUAUGGAAGGGCCAUCGCUCAACGGAUAAAAGGUACUCUGGGGAUAACAGGCUGAUACCGCCCAAGAGUUCAUAUCGACGGCGGUGUUUGGCACCUCGAUGUCGGCUCAUCUCAUCCUGGGGCUGAAGCAGGUCCCAAGGGUAUGGCUGUUCGCCAUUUAAAGAGGUACGCGAGCUGGGUUUAGAACGUCGUGAGACAGUUCGGUCCCUAUCUACCGUGGGCGCUGGAAAUUUGAGAGGAUCUGCUCCUAGUACGAGAGGACCAGAGUGGACGAACCUCUGGUGUACCGGUUGUGACGCCAGUCGCAUCGCCGGGUAGCUAUGUUCGGAAGGGAUAACCGCUGAAAGCAUCUAAGCGGAAGCCUACCUCAAGAUAAGAUUUCCCUAGGACUUUAUGUCCUCUAAAGAGCCGUUCGAGACUAGGACGUUGAUAGGUUGGAUGUGGAAGCAUAGUGAUAUGUGAAGCUGACCAAUACUAAUUGCUCGUGAGGCUUGACUA
rnacentral:rRNA from 1 species